UGGGGGAAUAUUGGACAAUGGGGGCAACCCUGAUCCAGCAAUGCCGCGUGUGUGAAGAAGGUCUUCGGAUUGUAAAGCACUUUCGACGGGGACGAUGAUGACGGUACCCGUAGAAGAAGCCCCGGCUAACUUCGUGCCAGCAGCCGCGGUAAUACGAAGGGGGCUAGCGUUGCUCGGAAUGACUGGGCGUAAAGGGCGUGUAGGCGGUUUACACAGUCAGAUGUGAAAUCCCCCGGGCUUAACCUGGGAGCUGCAUUUGAUACGU
rnacentral:rRNA from 1 species